GCUUUCCAUUUGUUCGAUCAUCAAAGUAAGUUGAAGUUGAAGAUUACAAAGAAAAAUGUGGUGAUCGUGUUCUAUUUAUAGAAACUCUAUGCUGUUUAGCAGAUUUUAGGUAUGAGCCAGCAGUCAUAAACACAAGGUAUUCAAGUUUUGCUUGUGCUGGUAUUUACCUAUCAUCACCAACAAUCUCAGCAUCAUCGCUUGGAUAAACAGCAUCCCUUUUGAUUGGAGAAUCCACAAAUAUUCGGUCGAGUUACAUACCUCUUCUUCCCUAUUAAUUCUCCUCUGUCCUCGUGUACACCCAUGUGAGUGUGGGUGUAUUCACGAGGACUCCCUUUUCCCUAUUCCGUCUGGUGGAUUCAAUCAUCCUGCUGAUUGAGCACUUUUGGAUGCCUGGCUGUAUUUCCCAGGCACAAAGUUGGGUUUUCAACUUUACAAUAGCUGCGCCUCACGAUUUCCAGCGUUUAUUAGCGGAAGGCAACGAUUGGUAUCAAAAACAGGAGCAGAGCGACGAGACUAUUAUAAUGGUCUAUAGCAGUUCAGCGGUGGCUCACUCCGUUGCUUAUAUACGUGAGCUUCAACAAGUGUGUUGGCUCUCCUCUAUUAUUAUGUAUGGCUAUAUAGCAAUUAUUUAUUACAUGGCGACACGAAGAUGUUGGUGGCGCGGAACCGCGCGCUCGCUCGGUUCGCACGUUAUACGGCAG